rnacentral:rRNA from 1 species
CCCCUAGAUGUUCUGGGCCGCACGCGCGCUACACUGAACAGUUCAACAAGUCUUAACCUUGGCCGAUAGGUCUGGGUAAUCUUUGAACGCUGUUCGUGAUUGGGAUAGACCUUUGCAAUUAUGGGUCUUCAACGAGGAAUUCCUAGUAAACGCAAGUCAUCAACUUGCAUUGAUUACGUCCCUGCCCUUUGUACACACCGCCCGUCGCACCUACCGAUUGAGUGAUCCGGUGAAUAACUCGGACUGCUGCGAAGCCCAGUUCCUGGAUUUCGCAGCGGGAAGUUUAGUGAACCUUAUCACUUAGAGGAAGGAGAAGUCGUAACA